rnacentral:rRNA from 1 species
GAUUGAACUUAAGAGUUUGAUCCUGGCUCAGAUUGAACGCUGGCGGCAUGCUUUACACGUGCAAGUCG